UGUGUGUGGUGGGGGGCUGGUGGGCUUAUGGAUCCCGCCUUCUGUUCGGAUCUGGCCACAAGACCUCGUCAUCAUCACAGGUGAUGUCCUCGCAGGCUAGGCAUCGGGGAAAAUAUCGCGCCUCAGUGUCUCGGCAUGCCUCUUCCAUUGCUUGCAGAAGAGUCAUGCGGGCGUGUGGUUGCGAUCAUAUACUUUCCACCUCCAUGCAGAAAAUAAUUCCUCGAUUGCAUUUAGAAAGGGGCUGUAAGGGGGCAGGUAUAAAAGUGUGAAAUGGUUAUGGUUGUUGAACCAGUCUCGGACCAGAGCAGCCCUGAUGUCAUCUGAUACACGUCUCCGCACUGGUCCUCUCUCUCUUUGUCCUCCUCUUGCUCUGACUCUCAGUGCCUCCAUGCUUGCAAAGCUCUCAAAAUGGCUUACCUGAGGCCUGUUUGUAGAGCUAAGGCUCAGAGCGAGUGGUGUUCUGUUUUUAGUGUGUAAGCAAUAGGCAAAAACCAUUAAAAUAAAUUCACAAAAUUCUAACCUAUCAUUGAAGUAAAACAAUUGAAAGUGGGGGGAAAUCUCAUUGUGAAAUAAAUGCUUUCUCUAGUUCUUGUUUGCCACAGUUAUUGGCACCCAAUUACUGCAAUGUCCUUUUCCCGAGAUAACAGCUCUGAGUUUUCUCCUGUAACGCCUGAAGAGUUUGGAGAACAUCUGACAAGAGAUCAGAGACCAUUCCUUCAUACAGAAUCUCUCCAGAUCCUUCAGAUUCACUGCUUCUUCUCUUCAGUUCACUUCUCUCAUUUUCUACAGGGUUCAGCUCAGAGGACUGGAAGGCCAUGGUAAAAGAUUCAUUUUGUGUUCAGUGACCCAUUUUUGUGUUUAUUUUGAGGUUUGUUUUGGAUUGUUGUCCUGAUGGAAGAUCCAGCCACGGCCCAUUAUAAGAUUUCUAACACAGUCAGUCAGGUUUAGAUUUUUAAUCUGUUGGUAUUUGAUAGAAUCCAUGAUGCCAUGCAUCUGAACAAGAUGUUCAGGACCUCUGGAGAAAACAGGCCACAACAUUAAAGAUCCAGCAGUAUAUUUAACCGUGGACACGAGGAAACCCUCCUGAACAACAUGUGCUGAUGUAGGGGCUGUUUGAGAUUUUUUAAGGUUUUCUGACCCCGAGACUCAACUAUUUUCUGCAAUUCUCCAGCUGUGGUCCUCGGAGAGUCUUUAGCCGCUCAAACUCUCCUCCUCACCGUGCAUUAGGACGAUAUAGACACACGUCCUCUUCCAGACAGAUUCAUAACAUCUUUAGUUGAUAGGAACCUCUUAAUGCCCUGAUGGUGGAAAUGAGGAUUUUCAAUGCUUUAGCUCUUUUCUUACAGCCACUUUAUAUUUUGUGAAGCUCAACAAUCUUGUUCUGUACAUCAGAACUAUUUUCUUUGUUUUUACUCCUUGCGAAGGAUGAUUAAGGGAAUUUGGCCUUUGAAUUGCUGAAAUGUACUUGGAAAUAUAUAUGAACAGAAUAUCAAAUUGCAUAAUUAUGCACUAUAUAUAUAUAUAUAUAUAUAGCCUCAAGAAUAUCAGCACACACACACAAAUAUGUUUGUGUGCAUGUGUGUGCUGAUAUUCUUGAGGCUAAGAUUUUUUAAAUUAAAAAUAUGCAUGUGUUAUGUAACCUGAAUCAAUUUCUCUUUACAGAUGUCAUGCAGUAUUUACACUGUGUUCAUGUGCGUGCUUGUGUGUGUGUGUGUGUGUGUGUGUGUGCGUGUGUGUGUGCGUGCGUCCGGCUCUUACCUGCAGGGUUCACUGCGAGGGCCGUCCACCCAUCAAUGUCAUGUUUGUGUCUUUGUGGGCAGGAACAGCCUUGAAUGGAGUGAGAGGUUUUGAAGUGUCAUGUUUGAAGUACAGCAUGAGAAAACGACCUGCCAGCACGCAAUCCACAGCAGAACGUCUGCACCUAUGAUCGAGGCAGGAGUCGGUGUGUCUGGCUGCAGACCUCGCGUGUGCCCCGAGCUGCCCGUCUCAAUAGGAUUACCAGCGGCUGAGGUUCAUGACACUUCACUAUGACCCCUGAAACUCUUCACCUGAGCACGGCCUUCUGCAUCCCACCGGCUGCAAGGCAUGGAGGUUAGAGAUAUUUCUGAGGACCAGGCAGAGGGAGGCACGGUGAAACAUCCAAUCAUUUAGUAUCUCUGAAGAGCCCUGAACGUGCUCCGUACAGGACAUCCAGACCUAAAACUGUGGCAUGUGACGUCUCGGAGAAAUCCCGUGAGCGAUGACAGAGCAACACGUGUUUCUUCCGAGCUGAACUAUUAACACAAUGACAGAUCAACGCAGAAAGUCUCAAACGCACGGCUGAAGAGCGUUCAGAUCCACUCAAGAGCAUCCUUUACUCGACCUCUGACCUCUGACCUCUGACACCUCUCACAAAUCAGCGCUGAUGCGUGCCAUGAGCCUACAGCACUUACUAAUCUCAAAGAUAAUUUCAACAUUUACAUUAACAAAGAGUAAUAAAUGCUGUAAGAGUAUUGCUCAGUGCUGAUUCAUGCUAACUAAUGCAUCAACUAAUCCUUAUUAUAAAGCGUGACCCAAAAUGUUCUACUAAAUGUGUUUAUUUUGUGGUGAAGCUUUACUGAAACAUGAUUCAGUUUCAUCUCUGGUCGGUUUGGUUGACUUUAUA